GCGGUCGUAGCUCAGUUGGUUAGAGCGCUGGAUUGUGGUUCCAGAUGUCGCGGGUUCGAAUCCCGUCGAUCGCCC
rnacentral:tRNA from 1 species